CGCCCUUCAAUCCCUAAUUCCCCUUUUUCAUUUCUCCUUCGCAUCUUACUCCCUACUUCACUAUUUUCCUCUUCGUUUCCAUGUUCUUCUCUUCCAACUGUGACAAUACCCGCCGCUGGAGAAGAUCCUUGUCCCCAAGGAUCAAAACUCGGAAAUUGGCCUCGGAGCACAGAAUAAUCCUCCCAUGUGUCGUUCGUAGCAUCCAGGAGGAUCUGUUGAAGACGAUACGGUUGCCCCAAUAUGUUUCUUCAAUAAACUAACAUGAAAAACCGGAUGGAGACGGGAAGUCUCAGGGCAAGAGAGGUCUGUCUGUAGGGCUGUAAUUUUAGGUAAACC